rnacentral:rRNA from 1 species
GACGAACGCUGGCGGCGUGCCUAACACAUGCAAGUCGAGCGAUGAAGCUCCUUCGGGAGUGGAUUAGCGGCGGACGGGUGAGUAACACGUGGGUAACCUGCCUCAUAGAGAGGGAUAGCCUUCCGAAAGGAAGAUUAAUACCUCAUAAGAUUGUAGUUUCGCAUGAAACGGCAAUAAAAGGAGCAAUCCGCUAUGAGAUGGACCCGCGUCGCAUUAGCUAGUUGGUAAGGUAAUGGCUUACCAAGGCGACGAUGCGUAGCCGACCUGAGAGGGUGAUCGGCCACAUUGGGACUGAGACACGGCCCGGACUCCUACGGGAGGCAGCAGUGGGGAAUAUUGCACAAUGGGGGAAACCCUGAUGCAGCAACGCCGCGUGAGUGAUGACGGUCUUCGGAUUGUAAAACUCUGUCUUUGGGGACGAUAAUGACGGUACCCAAGGAGGAAGCCACGGCUAACUACGUGCCAGCAGCCGCCGUAACAC